CCUACGGGAGGCUGCAGUGGGGAAUAUUGCACAAUGGGGGAAACCCUGAUGCAGCGACGCCGCGUGAGUGAAGAAGUAUUUCGGUAUGUAAAGCUCUAUCAGCAGGGAAGAAGCAAGACGGUACCUGACUAAGAAGCCCCGGCUAACUACGUGCCAGCAGCCGCGGUAAUACGUAGGGGGCAAGCGUUAUCCGGAUUUACUGGGUGUAAAGGGAGCGUAGACGGUAUGGCAAGUCUGAAGUGAAAGCCCAGGGCUUAACCCUGGGACUGCUUUGGAAACUGUUAGACUAGAGUGCUGGAGAGGUAAGUGGAAUUCCUAGUGUAGCGGUGAAAUGCGUAGAUAUCACGCAGAACUCCGAUUGCGAAGGCAGCAUACCGGCGCUCAACUGACGCUCAUGCACGAAAGUGUGGGUAUCGAACAGGAUUAGAUACCCGAGUAGUC
rnacentral:rRNA from 1 species